AACUCGGCAAAAUGACCCCGUAACUUAGGGAUAAGGGGUGCCACCAUCAGGUGGCCGCAGAGAAUAGGCCCAAGCGACUGUUUACCAAAAACAUAGGUUUCUGCUAAGUCGCAAGACGAUGUAUAGGAGCUGACGCCUGCCCGGUGCUGGAAGGUUAAGGGGAUCUGUUAGAGCAAUCGAAGCAGUGAACUUAAGCCCCAGUAAACGGCGGCCGUAACUAUAACGGUCCUAAGGUAGCGAAAUUCCUUGUCGGGUAAGUUCCGACCCGCACGAAAGGCGUAACGAUUUGGGCACUGUCUCAACAACAGACUCGGUGAAAUUGUAAUUCCGGUGAAGAUGCCGGAUACCUGCGACAGGACGGAAAGACCCCAUGGAGCUUUACUGUAGCUUGACAUUGGGUCUUGGUACUACAUGUACAGGAUAGGUGGGAGGCUUUGAAACCAGGACGCCAGUUUUGGCGGAGCCAUCCUUGGGAUACCACCCUUGUAGUACUGGGACUCUAACCAUAGGCCAUGAAUCUGGUCUUGGGACACUGUCAGGUGGGCAGUUUGACUGGGGCGGUCGCCUCCCAAAAGGUAACGGAGG
rnacentral:rRNA from 1 species